rnacentral:rRNA from 1 species
UACGGAGGGGGCUAGCGUUGUUCGGAAUUACUGGGCGUAAAGCGUACGUAGGCGGCUUUGUAAGUUAGAGGUGAAAGCCCAGAGCUCAACUCUGGAAUUGCCUUUAAGACUGCAUCGCUUGAAUCGUGGAGAGGUUAGUGGAAUUCCGAGUGUAGAGGUGAAAUUCGUAGAUAUUCGCAAGAACACCAGUGGCGAAGGCGGCUCACUGGCCCGAUACUGACGCUGAGGCACGAAAGCGUGGGGAGCAAACAGG